GUGCUUGGCUUCAGAAGCACAUAUGCCAAAAUAAUUAGAAUGAUACAGAGAAGAUUAGCAUGGCCCCUGCACAAGGAUGACAUGCAAAUUCGUGAAGCGUUCCAUAUUUUU